rnacentral:rRNA from 1 species
CAUGUCUUUAUGAUUAUAAUUUAAAGUCUAAUCUGCUCAAUGAGAAUUUAAAUUGCCGCAGUAUUUUGACUGUGCGAAGGUAGCAUAAUAAUUAGUUUCUUGAUUAGAAGCUGGAAUGAAAGAUUGGACGGGGAAAUUUCUGUCUUUUUAUAAAUUAUUUUUUAAUUUUAUUUUUAAGUUAAAAAGCUUAAAUUGUUAUUAAAGACGAGAAGACCCUAUAGAGUUUAAUAAUAAGAUUUUAUUUUUUAUUAGAAUUGAUUUUGAAAUUUUACUAUUUAGUUGGGGUGACUAAGAGAUUUAAAUAAUUCUUUUUUUAAAAAAUUGAUUAUAAUUAAUUUUUUUAUCUAGAUUUUUAAAUUAAAUAUUAAUUACCUUAGGGAUAACAGCGUAAUUUUUUUUAAUAGCUCCUAUUGAAAGAAAAGUUUGCGACCUCGAUGUUGGAUUAAAAUUAAUUUUUGGUGCAGUAGCUUAAAAAUUAGGUCUGUUCGACCUUUAAAAUUUUACAUGAUCUGAGUUUAGACCGGUGUAAGCCAGGUCGGAUUCUAUCUUUAGAUUAAUUAUUUAUUUUAGUACGAAAGGACCAGAUAAAUAUUAAAGGUUAAUUG